rnacentral:rRNA from 1 species
CUUACUGACAUCGUAAGCUAGCUCCUGUAGGUCGGACGGCGCACGGGCUUCGGCCUGGUGGCUGCUGGCGAACGGGUGAGUAAUGUAUCGGAUCGUGCCCAGUAGCGGGGGAUAACUAUACGAAAGCGUGGCUAAUACCGCAUACGCCCUACGGGGGAAGCGGGGGACCUUCGGGCCUCGCACUAUUGGAGCGGCCGAUAUCGGAUUAGCUAGUUGGUGGGGUAACGGCCUACCAAGGCGACGAUCCGUAGCUGGUUUGAGAGGACGACCAGCCACACUGGGACUGAGACACGGCCCAGACUCCUACGGGAGGCAGCAGUGGGGAAUUUUGGACAAUGGGGGCAACCCUGAUCCAGCCAUCCCGCGUGUGCGAUGAAGGCCUUCGGGUUGUAAAGCACUUUUGGCAGGAAAGAAACGGCACGGGCUAAUAUCCUGUGCAACUGACGGUACCUGCAGAAUAAGCACCGGCUAACUACGUGCCAGCAGCCGCGGUAAUACGUAGGGUGCAAGCGUUAAUCGGAAUUACUGGGCGUAAAGCGUGCGCAGGCGGGUUCGGAAAGAAAGAUGUGAAAUCCCAGGCUUAACCUUGGAACUGCAUUUUUAACUACCGGGCUAGAGUGUGUCAGAGGGAGGUGGAAUUCCGCGUGUAGCAGUGAAAUGCGUAGAUAUGCGGAGGAACACCGAUGGCGAAGGCAGCCUCCUUGGGAUAACACUGACGCUCAUGCACGAAAGCGUGGGGGAGCAAACAGGAUUAGAUACCCUGGUUAGUCCACGCCCUUAACGAUGUCCACUAGCUGUUGGGGCCUUCGGGCCUUGGUAGCGCAGCUAACGCGUGGAGUUGACCGCCUGGGGAGUA